rnacentral:tRNA from 1 species
CGGCCAAUGGGGAAGGGAUGGAUGCCCUUUCUGCCGCCAUCCGGGAGGUGCUGUCCCUUCACCAGAUCGAUGGUUCCGCCCCCAUCUUGGCCAA